ensembl:lncRNA
AGGGACUGGUGUCCUUUGCUGCAUCCCUGAGGACAGAUCCAGCUGAGCAUCUUUCACUCUUGCCUGGAGAGGCUUUGCAUUUGGCAACAGUGGGUCCUAAAUCUGUGCUAGCUCUACGGUUGUCAGCAAACUGUUCUCCUACCCUUAUGUUUUUCCAGAUGUUCAGUGAAGUAAAGCCACAUUUUAUUCUUAUUGUCGGCUGUUUGACAACGCUUCUGCUUUUUUAAAUAAAUACAAGUCUUAAGAUCUUAAAUCAGUGAUAAAGUGUAAAUACUCUUUAAAACCACAUUGGAAUACAGUCACUGUGGCUCACCUGUUAGGACUCUAUGGCUAUGACUGGAGCUCAGAUCCCUCUCGGAUGGACAUUUUGGAGAGCAUUGCCACUCUUGCUAGAGCUGCUGUGGAGUAGAGCUGCUGUCUGACCUUGGGAACUGCUUAUAAAGGUGCAACGUUUUGCUCUCAACAAUACUGAAUAUGGACACCUUCCAGUUUUCCUGGAAAAUGUGAUGUUCUCAGGGCUGACGCCCAGGAAGCACCUCCCCAGGUGACGGUGGGAGCGGACGGAUGAAGGCCACCCCUUUGGCAGAGCAGAGACCCCGGCACCAUCUCCAGAUCCCUUUGGGUGGUGGUGAUGUGCGUUUGGACCCACUUUAUGGAUGGGAAGGCUGAGCUGCGGGGAACGAAGACACGCGUUGUACUGACAAAUGUGGGUCUUGACCUUUUCCUUUGGGAUCCCUUGGCUUAUUUUCCUGCCACGGUGAUGCCAUCUGCGCCUGCAGUCCCCUUCCACAGGUCGUGUCGAUCAUUAUAGAUACCACCAGAUUUAUCACCCCCGUACCUAACGUGCCAAUGCUGGCAGAGACUUUUGAAAGCACAGCGGCAACGAGAAGCGUAUGUUCUGAGAGCUGCCUUAGUGGGAGUUUUUUUUCUGCCAAGGACAAUAAUUUUUUUUUCCUUUUUUUUUUUUUUCUUCAAAAUAAACAUCACGCUGGAAUGUGCUGCAGCAAAUGGCUCGGGCUCUAUUAUAUUUCAUGCAGCUUUCUAAACAAUUUUUAACCCCGCUGGCACGGUGUCAAACAGAAGGCAACCAACAAUAGCAAAAUCCCAUUAAAGCUGAGAAGGUUCCUUCCUGAGGUGAACAUGGCCAGAAAUAGUAAUCUUGGCUCUCUUUUCAAUUUGGCAUUGGGGACCAAUAAUGCAUGUUCUACUAAUGGAAAUUAUCUAAUUUCAUCCAAGUGCAGCUCCAGAGAGAGCUGGGCUGACGCACAAACAGUCAAUAUAACAACAUUCUUCUUGAAGAGCUGAACAAUAGGGCUUUGGUGGGACUGUGAUUAACAACGUCAGACCGAGAACAAACAGAAGGUGUAAAAAUAGGCAUCUGAGGAGCUGACACAACGGACUAUUUUUCAUCUGUAAGGCCAGAGGAGAAUGGCUUGUUAAAUUGUGUGCUCGGAGCACUUCAUCAGAUGCCGUGUGGAAGAACAAAAAAAAAAAAAUAUCCCAUUUCCCAUCUGGGUCUGAGUGUACGAAGGAACUGCACAUGCCUUAUUAAUAUAAAUCAUACUAGGAGCAUAAUUCCCAUUAGCAUUGAAGAGCCGUUUUUCAAUGAAAGACUCUUGCACCAGGAACACCUAAGGGGAAAUAACAAUGUUUGCUUCAUUUGAAGAGAAUAGUAAAAUACAGCCUGGGGACUGAGGAGGCAGAGAGCUGUUCCUUCUCUCCAAUGCUACAGGUUUGGGGUUUCUAUGCAACUAUCAUGAGCCACCGCCUUCCCCACCCCCUCCCAGAAGCUGUAUCCACAUGUGGUGAAGAGGUGGGCAUCCAGAUGUGCCAGUCCAAGGAGUGGGACCAUGGGCACGUGUUGGCCCCCGGCCUCUGCAUUGCCCCAUGGGGAUGCGUUCCCUUUCCCUCAGUCCCAGCUCUCAAGGAAAGGAAGCUCUGGCCUUGAAACUUUAGACAACAUUUCCACCUCUGGUUAAGCAGGCCAUGUCCAUCGGUGCCACAUCUCCAUGGUUCUUGAACCCCUCCAGGGAUGGUGACUCCACCACCGCCCUGGGCAGCUUCACCGCUCUUCCUGAGAAGAAAUUUCUCCUAAUAUCCAACCAAAAAUGGUGGAACCCAUGGAAAUGGCUAAGAAUGAAGGGGAAGUUGGGGAGCUGGGUAAUGUCCAGCAUCCGAUGGGUGCGCAAAGCACAGGGAGGUGUUCCAAGAGGAGGAAACCUGGGACAGCUUCAGAGCACGGAAGGGAAAAGCCCUGUGGCUGAUCCCAGCCCAGCAGCCGACCCUGAGGUUUGAUGGUUUUGCAGAUUUUAUGUUUUUUUGCACUAGAGGGUGCUGCUCUGUUAGCAUUCGGGAACGCUUGCAGCACCGUAUUGCUUUCACCGCUGUGUUGUGUGGGGUUGGGCUGAGGGGAUGCGUGUUGGUGCUCACAGCAGCACUCAGACAGGCCUGGGGUGAAGGAGGGCUGCUGAGCUGGGAAAGAAGAACUUCUUGGCGUGGAAAAGUUCUAUACAUCUAGAGUCAAGGCUCCAGGAUGAAUGAGUGCCUCGGGGAGCUGAGAAAUGAGACAACGCAGUGAGAAGAGGACAGUGAGUGCAGACACUGCCAGUACCGAACCUUUGGAAUUCACUGCUGCAGGACGGAUAGCCAACGACUCGUGGUGAUGUGCUCUAGCAGAAGGAAAAUCAAAGUGCCCUUUUAUAACUGUUCAGAUAUAAAGUGAAGGGCAUCCAGCCCCCUGACACCAGCAUGGAGAAUGAUGUGUGGGAGGGACUGUGGGAAAUGACCUCACCAUGCACGGCCAUGCCCACUGGCCGUGUUUCCAUCACACAGGGCACAGAGCAAGUGGGCAGUGCCCAGGGAGAGGACACAUCUCUUUUGGGCAGAUGGGUCCCAUUAGGGUUCUUUAAAGGCAGCAAUGGCACCAUUCUGCAGAGGUGUGCUCCUAGCAAGGAAGGCACUGUUUUAAAGCCCACCAGGCUGGUGCUCUCUGUGUUUAAGUCCACUCAGAGCAUGGAAGGAGGGCUGGAAGAAAACCAAUAAUUACUCUCAGAUAAAAUUAGUUUUACAAAGUGAUUUUCUUCUAGAAUCUUGGAUUCACACACGGGCUGCCUGUACUGUAGAUAUACCUGCAUUCUGAUAGCUCUAUUUCCAGUGUUCCUGCAUUUCUGACUGCUGUUGGCAAGAAGCUGUAGAUUGUUUCUCACACAGUUUUCUUAUGCAGUCUUUAGUGUCUCCUCCAAUCCUGGAUGUCCUUUAAACAUUGCACCUUUAAGGUACUGCUACUGCAGGGGCCACGGCAGGAGGCAUUACUGCACAAACCAGAUGAGUAUGGGGGAUUUAGGUGGAGUUACUCCAAUUAAACCACUGGAGAAUGCCCUGCUCUAGGAAUGGCAACUGCCCUAUUAAAGCAAGCUGGGUGUGUGCAUCCCAGCAGCUGUGCAGGAGCACAGCACAGUGGGGCAGCACUGCUGCCGUGUCUCCUCUCAUCAGCUGCUGGGGCUAAUUGCAGGGGCUCUCUGCAGACCUCUCAGCUUGUGUGGCCUGGAAAAUCCCAGGGACAAUCUUCAGGCAGUGCACAGGUGGGGUAACCCAUGGAGCCUGCAAUGCCAAAGCAGAGAGUUUGGGGAAUGGUGGCAGAAAAGCUUUUCUUCCAGGUGGAGUUAAUCCUCUGCAUGCUGACACCCCUGGGGGAGGGAGCAGGCAGGCAGGGUUGGAGAAAAUUUGGGAGACUGCUGUUUCAACUUUGAGCAGCUUAAACACAAACCCUACAGCACCAAGGGAUCGCAGCUCCAAAUGCCUGAAAAUGGGCUUCCCAAAGGCUGGCACACAGAGCAGAACUGCCUGACCCAACUGCAAGGAAACUCUGAGGAAGGGACCAUCUUGACCCGGCUGUCCCGCAGCAGGCAGCUUCCUUUCCCAGGGCUGUGGGGAUGCUAGUUAUUACCCUGGUGUUUUUAAAAAUAGGAUUGAUGUAGCUGCAAGUUUUCAUGAAAAAUAAAGAGAAAUAAAGGAAUGAAGAACGAAAGAGAAGAUAGAAAAAGGGGAAGAAAGGAAGGAAGGAAGAAAAGAAAGAAAAAGAAAUGAAGAAAGAAACAAAACAAAUGAAGAAAGAAGGAAAAAAAGGAAAGGAGGGAAGGGAAAGGAAGGGAAAGAAAGAAAUGAAGAAAGGAAAGAAAAAGAAAGGAAGGAAAGAAAGAAAAAGAAAUGAAGAAAGAAGAGAAAGAAAUGAAAAGUGAAAAGAAAGAAGUGAAAAAGAAAUUUAAAAAAAUGAAGAAAAGGACAGGAGAAAGAAGGAAGGAAGGGAGGAAGAAGAAGGGAAGGAAGGAAGGAAGAAAGUAUGAAAGGAAGAAACAAAGGAAGAAAAAAAUAGGAAAUAAAGUAGGAAAGAAAGGAAGAGGGAAAGAAAGUAAGGAAGAAGGGAAGAAGGAAAAAGAAAGAAAAGAAAGAAGGGAAAAAAAGAAAGAAAGAAGAAGGGAAGAAAGAAAGAAGGAGUGCGAAGGGCCGUGGCACAGCGGUGCCGUCGCGGAGCGGCGCGGAGCAGCGCGCAGCCCCAGC